CGCGUAGGCGGUUUGGCAAGUCGGAUGUGAAAGCCCCGGGCUUAACCUGGGAAUUGCAUUCGAUACUGUCAGGCUGGAGUGUAGUAGAGGGAAGCGGAAUUCCGGGUGUAGCGGUGAAAUGCGUAGAGAUCCGGAGGAACAUCAGUGGCGAAGGCGGCUUCCUGGACUAACACUGACGCUGAGGUGCGAAAGCGUGGGGAGCAAACA
rnacentral:rRNA from 1 species